rnacentral:rRNA from 1 species
AAUAUUGGACAAUGGGGGCAACCCUGAUCCAGCCAUGCCGCGUGUGUGAAGAAGGUCUUCGGUUUUUAAAGCACUUUAAGUGGGGAGGAUGGGCUUUAGGCUAAUACCCUGAAGUUUUGACGUUACCAACAGAAGAAGCACUGCUGAACUCUGUGCCAGCAGCCGCGGUGAUACAGAGGGUGCAAGGGUUAAUCGGAAUUACUGGGCGUAAAGCGCGGGGAGGUGGUUCAGUAAGAUGGGUGUGAAAUCCCCGGGCUUAACCUGGGAACUGCUUUCAUAACUGCUGAGCUAGAGUACGGUAGAGGGUAGUGGAAUUUCCUGUGUAGCGGUGAAAUGAGUAGAUAUAGGAAGGAACACCAGUGGCGAAGGCGACUACCUGGACUGAUACUGACACUGAGGUGCGAAAGCGUGGGGAGCAAAC